rnacentral:rRNA from 1 species
UACGGGGGGGGCGAGCGUUGUUCGGAAUUACUGGGCGUAAAGGGUUCGUAGGUGGCUCGCUAAGUCAGACGUGAAAUCCCUCAGCUCAACUGGGGAAUGGCGUCUGAGACUGGCAAGCUUGAGUGCAGGAGAGGAACGCGGAAUUCCAGGUGUAGCGGUGAAAUGCGUAGAUAUCUGGAGGAACACCGGUGGCGAAGGCGGCGUUCUGGACUGCAACUGACACUGAUGAACGAAAGCCAGGGGAGCAAACGGG